rnacentral:rRNA from 1 species
UACGUAGGGGGCAAGCGUUGUCCGGAUUUAUUGGGCGUAAAGAGCGUGUAGGCGGCCAGAUAGGUCUGGUGUGAAAACUUGAGGCUCAACCUCAAGAGGUCACUGGAAACCAUUUGGCUAGAGUCCGGAAGAGGAGAGUGGAAUUCCUGGUGUAGCGGUGAAAUGCGCAGAUAUCAGGAAGAACACCUAUGGCGAAGGCAGCUCUCUGGGACGGUACUGACGCUGAGACGCGAAAGCGUGGGGAGCGAACAGG